UAAUCAAACGGCUAUGGACAAUUCAUCUGUACCCUACAACCAAUCAUCGAGAGGUACAUAUUGAUAACGUUAGAUGGACCCUUCACAGCUCUAUGCAUUACUAUUGACAAGGUGGAGCGGUCGGUAGCAUCUGAAAAGGAGUUUAAAGGAGAAGAAAAACAACAAGAAGAAGAAAGAAACUUGAGGCAGAGGCCUCUCCUCCUAAUUAAAACAAAAGAAAGAAAGCUACUUUUUAAUCUGAAACUGAUGAUGAAUUUCGGGUCUUGUUUUGUCAUCAUUUGGGGGUUGUAAACAAAGACCAAAUUAGUUUCUCUUUAUAUAUGCUUAACCCCAACUUUCUGUUGCAGUUUCAGAUAGAGAUUAGAUGCGUGCAAUUGUGUGUGAAUUUUUGGCAUCAUAAACGAGGGAAAAGAAAAGAAACGCAAGAAAAGACUGAAGAGAGAUAGGGCUUUUCUUCUUCUUUUUUCUUUUUUCCUUUUAGUUAUCAUCAAGAACGAGGGCAAAGGGCAAGAAUAACUAUGAUGAUCAUUUGAUCCUUCUAAAUAUAUAAACCCUAUAUUGCAGAAAGAAUGAACCAUCCAAUCUUUUGGAUUUUAUUAUUAUUAAUAUUAUUUAUUUAUCUCUUUGUCUUUUUGGGUCUGAUGAAGCCAUUUCUUCUCUUCCCUUUUUUCUUUCAAUUAAUUACACCCAUCACCUCAACCUCAACCUCAACCGUCCAUUUCUCUCUCUUAUUUACUGUGCUACCUUUGUACCAUCCUCGCAUCUUAAAUAAACCCAUCUGCCCUCGUCUUUUCAUAUUCUUCUUCAGAUUUGCUAUAUUCACUUUCUUCUCUAUCCGCUCUAUCUACCUAUCUGUUCGUAUGGUGAAUACAAUAGGGACAUGGUUUCAGCUUUCAUGUGGGUCUAACAAAGGGUUUCUUACAGAGCUUAUUGGCAUUCUGUCCACCUCCUUUAUCAAUAGAACAAUUUCUCUCUUUUAUUUUCCCUGUCAUAUAUGCAUAUUUACAUAUUUAUAUGGAGGUGGGCAUACUGCCAACUGAGCUCUGUUGGUCUCUCUUUGUAAAACCCUCGUGAUUUAUCCUUCACUUGUCUCCUCCUUUUAUUUUUUGUUUUCCUAUUCUGCAAGGAAGAUCAAGGUGCUGCUCGUAUGAUGAUUUUCUUUUAUACUUCGUGUAUAUCGCUUCUGAUCUAGGGUUUUAAGUAGUCUUUUCUUUUCCAAUAACAAAAUCCCUUUAAGCUAGGGAAUUAGGGCUCGAGAUUGAAGGUACAAAUUCAUGGAGUGAAAUUGCUCCACAAGGAGAACAUGUAAGAUAGAUUAUACCAACUACCAUGGCAUGUAAGAGAGAUUAUACCAACUACCAUGGUUCCAUUAGAAGGGUUCCUUUUGAUUGAAGCUGUUAACUUGUAAUCAUGUUCAUGUUCUCUCUUCCAUCUGUAUAUACAAAAAAAAUGGUAAAGAUUAAUUACUAGAUCAAAAUUAAAGGUGGAGAUUUUGGAUGUUCAUGGCUUCAUGCAUGUCUGCCACGGUUGUUCAAAUUACUAGUUUUAAUGUAAUAAUUGUAGGGCAGGCAUGGAGGGAGUCCUUCAAUUUUAGGGCAGACCUAUCUAUCUGUAUACGUUUCUAGUUUCUACGCAGCUCUCAUAUUAUACGUAGCCUCAUGAUUGAAGACUGACACUGCUUUUUUAACUGAUGUAGAACAACAAAACCCACACCACCUCUGUAGUAGAGGAUGCAUGUCAUAUUCUGCCUCCCUUGACUAGGAAUUAGUAUGUGAUUGGAUCGUGGUAUCCACGCUGUGUAAAAGCGAUUGGAGAGAGACGAUUUGUUGGUGGGGAGAGGGGUAGGGGUAGGGAUAGGCAGAGGGGGGGAGUUUAAACUUUUUAAUAUACCUUGGUGGCUCUUCUCAAAAGUCACUUUCAUGCUAAGUAGAUUUUUAAGCUGUUUUGCCUUUCUUUUUCUUUUUUGUUCUUUUACCUUCUCUCUGGUCACUAAAAUUUAGUGUAUGAUUCUUCCAUUCCUUUUGGGUCAAAUGGGUUUUGAAUUUAGUCAUGGGUACGAUUCAGAGGAAAAGGGUAAAUAAAGUGGAUGUUGCUAAUGAUUCCAUUGGGGACCAUAUGGUGUUAAAGAGAGUGUGGGCACCUCUUUCUUCUUCUCGAAAGGAACCAUUAUUGUGUUUUCAAAGCUAACAGAAUUUAUUGAUGAGGUUUGCCUCUGUAAUAAUGAAAUUUUUUCAGGCUUCA